UGUGGCUUAAAUAUCUGCAAGGCACUAGAUCCCCUCUGAUCUUGGAAGCUAAAAAGGGUCAACUCUGGUUAAUAUUUGGAUGAGUGUCCAUCUACUAAUACUAUGUGAUAUAGGCUGUAC
rnacentral:rRNA from 11 species